rnacentral:rRNA from 1 species
UGAAUACGAGAUGCUACGGCGUCGAAGCAGUCUAUGUCAUACUUCCAAGAAAAGCUUGCACUGUCAUAAACAAAUAAUGCCUGUACCAUAACCGACACAGGUGGGUAGGUAGAGUAUACUAAGGGGCGCGAGAUAACUCUCUCUAAGGAACUCGGCAAAAUGACUCCGUAACUUCGGGAGAAGGAGUGCCUUAUUUAUAAGGUUGCAAUAACAAGACCCAAGCAACUGUUUAUCAAAAACACAGGUCUCCGCUAAGUCGUAAGACGAUGUAUGGGGGCUGACGCCUGCCCAGUGCCAGAAGGUUAAAGAAGUUGGUUAGCAUUAGCGAAGCUGAUGACUGAAGCCCUGGUGAACGGCGGCCGUAACUAUAACGGUCCUAACGUAGCGAAAUUCCUUGUCGGGUAAGUUCCGACCCGCACGAAAGGCGUAAUGAUUUGGGUACUGUCUCAGAGAGGGACUCGGUGAAAUAGACUUGUCUGUGAAGAUGCGGACUACCUGCACCUGGACAGAAAGACCCUAUGAAGCUUUACUGUAACCUGAAAUUGAAAUUGGACUUUAUUUGCGCAGUAUAGGUGGGAGGCUUUGAAGAUAUUCUUGCGGGAAUGUUGGAGCCAUCAGUGAGAUACCACUCUUGUAAUGUUAGAUUUCUAACUUUGUAUCAUUAUCUGGUCAAAGAACAGUUUCAGGCGGGCAGUUUGACUGGGGCGGUCGCCUCCUAAACGGUAACGGAGGCCACAAAGGUUUCCUCUGAACGGGUAGAAAUCGUAUCUAGAGUGUAAAGGCAUAAGGAAGCUUGACUGUGAGACCUACAAGUCGAGCAGGGACGAAAGUCGGUCUUAGUGAUCUGACGGUGCUGAGUGGAAAGGCCGUCACUCAACGGAUAAAAGUUACUCUAAGGAUAACAGGCUGAUCUCCCCCAAGAGUUCACAUCGACGGGGAGGUUUGGCACCUCGAUGUCGGCUCAUCGCAUCCUGGGGCGGUAGUACGUCCCAAGGGUUGGGCUGUUCGCCCAUGAAAGCGGUACGCGAGCUGGGUUCAGAACGUCGUGAGACAGUUCGGUCCAUAUCCGGUGUAGGCGUUAGAAUAUUGAGAGGAGCCUUCUCUAGUACGAGAGGACCGAGAAGGACACACCUCUGGUGUACCAGUUAUCGUGCCAACGGUAAACGCUGGGUAGCUAUGUGUGGAGCGGAUAACCGCUGAAAGCAUCUAAGUGGGAAGCCCACCUCAAGAUAAGUAUUCUCAC